AGGUGCGGUCAUACCAGCGUUAAUGCACCAGAUCCCAUUAGAACUCCGUAGUUAAGCGCGCUUGGGCCAGAGUAGUACUGGGAUGGGUGAGCUGCCGGGAAGUCCUGGUGUUGCACCCU
rnacentral:rRNA from 1 species